AGUAAUGCAACGAUGCAUGCUUCCCAAAAGAAGUAAAGAAGAACCACUACGCGUAUUUGUUUGUCAUCCCCCAUGGUCGACUCGUGGAUGUGCCAACCGUAGACAUAUAGCGUUAACGUUAUACCAACCGCUGGCUUUGCCUCACCUGACGCUGCUGGAAUCAGAGCUGUGUUCUGUCAGUUGGUUAGCAAACUAUUAGCAUCGAUGUUAACUAGUAAAUGACACACACACCAAUGCUAAACAAUGCCUGACACUGUCCGCAAUGCAAACCAAAGAACUCCAAAGGAGAUAUAUCUAAAGGAGAUAUGUUUCCAAGCUGUCAGAAAACAUUAUGCUGCUCUGGGAAUGGAGGCUGUUCUUGAUCUUCCGACGCCUCUCAUUACCGAUCUUCUUCCUCAUCUGACUGUAUGUCAACUAAAUGAGCUCCAGCCUGCCCUGAACCAGAGGGGGAUAUCAACUCACUCUGGGUGGAUUGGAGUCCUACAGGAUAUGUGUGGACCUAACCAUGUAAUAGACUUCAACACAGAAGAAGCGGCCAAGCACGAAGUCAUGAGACUGCUUUUUACUCUUGUAUUCUACGGCUUCACAAACCCCUUUGUCAAAAGAAACAUCACAAAUCUAAACACCCCGUCCUUCCUGUGGGCUGCAGCUAAAUGUAUCAAACAUUUUUCACUCACUACGCCAGUCGAAAGAUUGACCGCUGAGGAGCGGCCACUUCUGGAGCUCUUGGAGCAGCGUAUCAGGAGUGUUGGUGUAUCGCAGUGCAUUGAUCUAUCAAAGAGAAGGACACAAUCUGCGCUGUAUGUCCUCCAUCGCCUGCUAGACCACGGUGUGGCUAAAAAACUUGUUGUACAUGUGCAAUGCCCCAUCAUGUUGUCCUGGAUCCUACACGGCAGGGGUUCUCAGUAUGUAAACCCUGAACUGAAGAACCUGAUGCACAGCAAAAGGGCAAGCUGCAUUUACAAAGCAGCUUCAUUCAGAGCAGACGGGGCCAUCUGCAGUUCAAGUCUCGAGGCCGGUGCUUCAGAAGAGGAGGAUGACCAAGCCACUCCCUGCAAACGCUCCAGGUUGGAUUAUGUAUCCAUGGACCAGGACGUGGAAUCCGGAGAAGCAAAAUUUACUGUGGACCCGCAUGUUCUCUGUCAAAGCUUCACUCCGUGUAAUGGGCGUUCGGCAGGGGCUUGUCAAUGGGGACAGAUUGAAUGUCUGGAGAUCAGGCAGUGUGGGUCCAACUCCCUCAGAGUGCUAAACUCUGCCCUGCCCACAUUUUUUUGCCUUCGCUCUCUAACCCUUCACAGCAUUGCGACGUUCAGGGACUUUGAUGUGUUGGGCCUGGCCAGAGCCCUGAAGCAGCUGUCGCAGAGUCCCCGCAGCUCGCUCACGGAACUGAGCAUCAGCGUCCUGCCGUACACCUGGCUCAUGGGGAUCCUGCUGGAUGCCAGCCCUAAUGUUACGUCUCUACAUGUGGAGAUCCAGACUGUGAUGUGGGGGCUACGCUUCUUACCACAUCAUCCCAGGAUGGCUGAGUUGGAUGUGUCAGGUGCUGUAAAGCUUCUACCUAAGUUAGAGCUGCCCCUGGAGAAGCUGGCAGUCAAAGUAGCUGAGCUCCAAACAGAUCUGCACUUCAUCACAUCAGUGCUGCGCCGCUCUCCACAUCUCACCUCGCUUCACGUAGCCGGGAUGAGAUUACCAACUGGCUCCUCUCAAAGCCAGCUCCUCGCCACUCUCUCAGAGUCAAAUCACUUCUUGAAGAGUCUCAACUUGGAGGACAUGAAGCUGUCUGACUGUCUCCCUGAGAUCCUCAACCUACUGAGAGACUGCAAGUUGGAAGAGCUGCGGUUUAAUGACUGCCGCCUUCUGGAGAAGUGGAGCAACAAGGAGGAGAGUCUGCAGCAGCUGGUGGCUGCUCUGAGGAUGGUGCCUUCUCUCCACACACUCAGCCUGGCUCAGAAUCGGCUCGCCAAGAACGUGUGUGUGCUGGCAGAGCUGUUCUCAGGAUCCCCCGCGAGCUCAGUGAACCGACUCGACAUCAGCUCUAACUUCAUUCAGCCUGCUGAUCUGCUGGAGUUCGCUAAGAGACUGAGGACACAUCCUCCGCCACACCGAUUGACCCUAAACCUCAGGAAAAACCCAGGCGAUCGGGACCCCGACACAUGGAACACGGCACUGAGGAGGCUCCGUCCCUUCUGUGUUCUCCUGGUUGAAGGAUGGAACUCCACGAACACAUUGGCUGACCACAUCAGCAACAUGUGAACAGAGCUAGAGGCACAUUUGAGAGGCAAACUCUCCCAGCUGGAGUGGAAAGUUGCUGUAAAGUCAGCACUUUAUGUAACGUUUGACAGAACAGACCGUGUUCAGUUCACACAGUAGUAGGUUCCAAUGAAAGUUUUGAGGCUUUUUUUUUUUUUUUUUUUUACUUUCCAAACCACACCUGCAGCAUGAGUCACUUCUCCGCUGUCCAUUUCAUGCAAUAUUGUUCUAAACAUCUAGUAGUUCAACAUGUUUAAAUACACAACUUCCAAUCUGUCUAAAUUGUGAUACAUACAUAGUGAACUGAGCAUUCGGCUGGAAAGAGGAGAAGGGGAUGAAGCCGUAGGAAGGGUUCUUAGUGACAUUGACAUUUUGUUUUUCUGCCAUAAUUGUAAUUAUGGUAGAACAGUCCUCAUUGAUACUUUAAUUAGUUGUGACACAUUUCAUUAGUUCUAUGAAUGUUAUAUCUAUUUAAUGGAACAUUUCAUUUGUUCCCUUGCAUCAGAGUGCACGAUGGCACUGUUGGAAAAUAAAAGCGCGUCCCGUUAGUUUGACAUUUGAAUCAUUUAUUAAACCAACGUCUGUU